ensembl:lncRNA
CGAAUUAUGACGCUUUUAUUGCCGUGUUGUUUAGGUUUGCCUUUUGUUUCUGCCACAAACAGUUGGUGCUUGAAUUCCCUGAUCUGUUUCUGAAUCUCCCCGUCUUUAAAGUCAGUCUCUUUUUUCUCUUUUAUUCUCCUUUUUUUAACCCCCUUUCCUCAUUCUCCAGCUGUCCUUUUGCUGUAUGUUUCCCCUCUCCCCUCGUCUCUCAGCUCUUAUCGUCAUUGUGUUUAUAUGAUUUUGAGAGUUGAUAGAAGAACCCUGGGCAAUCUUUUACUCAGACGCCAGACUUUCAUUUUCCUCUGCCUCAUACAUCAAUCUGCACCUUGCUUUGUUUUUGACCAAAGAGGUAUCAAAUAGACAGCUCCAGCCAAAGCAUAUUUAUUUAUUUCUUUAGAAACGUAUUCUCCCAAGCCACUAUCAGAGUCGGCAAUAAAGGGACAUCGAAAUGUUAUUUCUUAGCUUUCUUCUCCCUUUACCCCUCUCACAAUUUCCAUUGCUUUCUUGGUCCCAGUGUUGUCAUUUUACUUUGAGUGAGCUCUUCUGUUGAUCUCCCUGUGUGCCACACUUUGAACUCCUAUAAGUAACAGAGAAUGAAAAAAAUAAAAUAAAAUACUUGAAGUAUUUGCAUAGUAAAAGUAAAUGAAAUACUCUUUAGUGCAACGUUUUCAGCUGAUUAAAAAAAAAAAACUAUAAUCAAGAAGGAUCACACAAGACAGCGAUUUAAGAUUCACUUACCCAUGUGUUCUGUUAUUUCGGAUGAUUGGACCUUUUAUCAGGAUUUGGUGGGCGUGCAGAGACCAUGCUUGAUUGAUGCUUCCUUGACUCGUCUAGUAGCAACCGGGGUGAAACAACUUUCACUGGCUUCAAGUGUCAUUGUGUUUUUGAGAAAAUUACAUUGUCUGUUGUUGCUGAGCAACUUGCUAUAAAAACUACCUUUUUAUUCUCUUUAUUCCAGCAUCACAGCACACACACUAACAGAAAAAAAAACGAUUAAAAAGUAAUUGAUGACUAACUUCAACAGGCUCCCACAUACCAAGACUUAGUCAAUAGCCCUG